AUUAUUACUAUUACCCACAAUCAGUCAGGAGCACCUGAUUUGUGGUAGUGAAACUAGUGUCUGGUAUGUGGCAGUAUGUGCACGGUCUACUCCAGGGCUGCCAAUGUUUGGGGCUGAAAAACGGCAUGAGUGGAAUAAGCAAGCAGGGAGACAGCAGACGACAGGCAGUGAGGAGGGGAGAGGCUGGAGUGGAAGGAGCAGCACAACAGCCAAAGAGAAGGGAGAGACAACUGCUGCUGGAACUAAGAGCAAGAUUAGGACUCCAGUCCCACCCACCUAUUGGGUAUACACAGAGCACCAGAAUGCAUCUCAACAGUCUGUAAGCAAUGGCCUCCCCCGCGGGUUUUCCUUCUCACUCACCUGGCUGUUUGGAUCUCCAAGUAAGUUGCAUAUAUGUGGCACAAUCUUGCUUAGUGUUAAAGUCUGAGCUCCAGAGCUGAAAACAAAAGGAGUGCUUUCUUGUUAGUGAGAACUGAAGAAAGACAGACGCCUGUCUGCCCACACCUGCCCUUCCCGUGUCUCCCCAAUCCCCACCACCACCUCAUACCAAGUCUCUCUCCAUCCCAUCCACACUGGCUCCAAAGUAAAUGUGUCCGAUGGCCCCUUUGCACAGAGUUCAAAACCUAGGGUGGCUUCUCCCAGGUGAGUCUUCCUCCUGUCCCCCAGGGCUCUGGCCAAUCUGGCCCUACCCCUUUAACGCUGGGCCAGAGCACCCCGGGUCCCGCUUGCCUCACAGGUGCUGCCUCUGCAGUGCUGUUCUGUCACUGUAAGCCAACUACGAGUCACUGGAGGGACCUUGUUUAACUCUCCCAUGUGCUGUGGCAGAGCCCUCUGCUACGGUAGACAGUCAGGCAAUACCGCUGGAUGAAAAGACUGCAAUCAAAUCAGAGCAUCUACCUACUGGGGCACAUCUGAGCCAAGUACUACCCUACUGGGGCACAUUUGAGUUACAAUUUUCACCAUCACCAUCCCUGCCAUGACAAAUGGCCUUUGUGAAUAAAAAUCUCUUGGUUAAUCUGCC